UCAUGCAAACUUCAUGUGAAUGUGCUGUGUCUUCAGGGCUGUUACAGGGCCAUGGUUUGGUCCUUGUCUAUCCUUACAGGCCUACACUUUUUUGCAAGAAAGUCACAGUGCCACGUGUGCUUGCUGAUUCAAUCUGGGAGGAGGACAGAGAGCAGACACAGUGGUGCCACUCCUUUUGCUGAACACCAGACAGGACCAUCAGACUGUAAGAGACCUGUCUUAAGAAAGAUGGAGGUGGCCCCCAUCUUCCUUCCACGUGCUGCUCUGCCAAGGUUUUCUCAUUCUGAUCAACAUCUCCAAGCUUGGGCUCAGUCUGCCAAUAUCUCCUGCCUCAUGAGUGAUAGCACUGCAGAGUGGAAUGGAUCACAUUCAAAAAGCUGGUCUGUACAAGCGUUUUAAG
rnacentral:lncRNA from 1 species